GAGGGAAAAAGAAAAAAAAAACCACCCAACCUACCCCUAACCUCUCGCCGUCAAACCCCCUCUGAAAUCUAGAGAGAGCACGCACGCACGCCAUGGGAGACCUCAAGGAGGAGGAAGAGGGCCUCCUCAAGCUCCCCAUCCCCGGCCAACGCAACGUCCUCAUCACCAGCGCGCUGCCGUACGUCAACAACGUCCCUCAUCUCGGCAACAUCAUCGGCUGCGUUCUCAGCGCCGACGUCUUCGCUCGCUACUGCCGUCUCCGGGGAUACAACACCCUCUAUAUCUGCGGCACCGAUGAGUACGGCACCGCCACCGAGACCAAAGCCAUGGAGGACAAGUGUAGCCCCAAGGAGAUCUGCGAUAAGUACCAUGCGAUUCAUCGCCAGGUGUAUGAGUGGUUCAAUAUAAGUUUUGACAAAUUCGGGCGAACUUCGACGCCGGAGCAGACGGAGGUGUGCCAAGCCAUUUUCAAUAGGCUGCUGGAGAAUAAUUGGCUCUCUGACAACACAAUGCAGCAGCUCUACUGUGAUACUUGCACACGGUUUUUAGCCGACAGGCUCGUGGAGGGGACGUGCCCAACGCAAGGUUGUGCUUAUACUUCUGCAAGAGGAGAUCAGUGUGAGAACUGUGGGAAGCUUUUAAACCCUACCGAAUUAAAGGAUCCAAAGUGCAAGGUCUGUAAGUCGACUCCACGGAUUCGUGAUACAAACCAUUUGUUUCUGGAAUUGCCUUUGCUGAAGGAUAGGUUGGAAGAGUAUAUUAAUAAAAUGUCAGUGGAGGGGUCUUGGAGCCAGAAUGCCAUUCAAGCAACAAAUGCGUGGCUCAGAGAGGGGCUUAAACAACGGUGUAUCACCAGGGAUCUGAAGUGGGGGGUUCCAGUUCCACAUGAUAACUUCAGGGACAAGGUUUUCUAUGUGUGGUUUGAUGCGCCUAUUGGAUAUGUUUCAAUUACUAAAUGCUACACUUCAGAUUGGGAGAAAUGGUGGAAGAAUCCAGAGGAUGUGGAGUUGUAUCAGUUUAUGGGCAAAGAUAAUGUGCCAUUCCACACGGUGAUGUUUCCUUCCACGCUUCUUGGAACUGGUGAAAAUUGGACUUUAAUGAAGACAAUUAGUGUUACUGAAUACUUGAACUAUGAAGCAGGAAAGUUUUCCAAGAGUAAAGGGAUUGGAGUAUUUGGAAACGAUGCCAAAGAUACAAACAUUCCUGUUGAAGUAUGGCGAUAUUACUUGCUAACCAAUAGGCCCGAGGUGUCGGAUACAUUAUUUACAUGGGCGGAUUUGCAAGCGAAGCUCAACAGUGAAUUGCUGAAUAAUUUGGGCAACUUCAUUAACCGAGUUUUGAGUUUUGUUGCCAAACCUUCAGGUCAAGGAUAUGACUCCAUUAUUCCAGAUGCUCAAGAUGCCAUCUCUGAUCCUUUGACAGAGAAAAUAGCUGAGAAAGUGGGUAAAUAUGUGGAGCAAUAUGUAGAGGCCAUGGAGAAGGUAAAACUAAAGCAAGGACUCAAACUAGCAAUGAGCAUUUCUAGUGAAGGGAAUGCAUAUCUGCAAGAAAGUCGGUUCUGGAAGCUUUACAAGGAAGACCAACCUCGCUGCUCCAUUGUUAUGAGAACUGCAGUGGGGCUAGUGCAUCUUCUUGCUUGCUUAUUAGAACCCUUCAUGCCAUCGUUUUCUGUUAAGGUAUUUAAGCAGCUUAAUCUGCCUCCUGAGACGCACAUAUCACUUUGUGAUGAUAAAGGUGAUACUGAUAGGGCAAGACGGCCAUGGGAGAUUGUACCUAGAGGUCACAAGAUUGGGAAACCAGAGCCGUUGUUCAAGGAAUUGAAUAAUGAUGAAGUAGAUUCUCUAAGGAAGAAGUUUGCUGGAAGUCAGGCCGAUAGAAAGGAAAGGGAAGAAGCUGAAGCAGUGAAGUUGGCUGAGCAGCUCAAGAAAUCAAAAGUUUCAGACAAGAGUGGAAUUCCAUGAGUUUUCUCGGAUUAGUAUCUAAUUUAUGUGUUCGUUGGUCUGGGACAGAAUCGGAAGGUUGAGUUGGUUGAUCCACCAAUAUCUGCUCAAGUUGGGGAGAGAAUUACAUUUCCGGCGUUCGAAGGUGAGCCUGAUGAUGUGUUGAACCUUGAGCAGGUCUGGGAGACCCUGCAGGGUAGAAUUGCACGGUAACACUGAGCUAGUUAGGUGCUACAAAGAUAUUCCCCUCACUACAUCAGCUGGCGUUUGCACUGUUAAAUCUAUUCGUGGUGGCUCAAUUAGGUAGAAGUGGCAUUAAUUCUGUUGCAAGGAAAAGAAGACUUCUUUUUCAUGAUUUUGUGUGUAGAUUAAGAGUACUAUAUUAUUCAGACAGAGUACUAUUUUUGGUAUAGAGUCAGAAAGUACUGUUGCUAAUA